rnacentral:rRNA from 1 species
GAUGAACGCUGGCGGCGUGCCUAAUACAUGCAAGUCGAGCGAACAGACGAGGCGCUUGCUCCUCUGACGUUAGCGGCGGACGGGUGAGUAACACGUGGAUCACCUACCUAUAAGACUGGGAUAACUUCGGGACACUGGAGCUAAUCCCGGAUAAUAUAUUGAACCGCAUGGUUCGAUAGUGAAAGUCGGUUUUGCUGUCACUUAUAGAUGGAUCUCGGCCGCAUUAGCUAGUUGUUAGGGUAACGGCUUACUAAGGCAACGAUGCGUAGCCGACCUGAGAGGGGGAUCGGCCACACUGGAACGGAGACACGGUCCAGACUCCUACGGGAGGCAGCAGUAGGGAAUCUGCCGCAAUGGGCGAAAGCUUGACGGAGCAACGCCGCGUGUGUGAUGAAGGUCUUCGGAUCGUAAAACUCGGUUACUAGGUAAGAACAAAUGUGGAAGUAACUAUGCACGUCGUGACGGUACCUAAUCAGAAAGCCACGGCUAACUACGUG